rnacentral:rRNA from 1 species
UUACCCCGCUGGAACUUAAGCAUAUCAAUAAGCGGAGGAAAAGAAACCAACAGGGAUUGCCUUAGUAACGGCGAGUGAAGCGGCAACAGCUCAAAUUUGAAAUCUGGCUCUUUUAGGGUCCGAGUUGUAAUUUGCAGAGGGCGCUUUGGCAUUGGCAGCGGUCCAAGUUCCUUGGAACAGGACGUCACAGAGGGUGAGAAUCCCGUACGUGGUCGCUAGCCCUUGCCGUGUAAAGCCCCUUCGACGAGUCGAGUUGUUUGGGAAUGCAGCUCUAAAUGGGAGGUAAAUUUCUUCUAAAGCUAAAUAUUGGCCAGAGACCGAUAGCGCACAAGUAGAGUGAUCGAAAGAUGAAAAGCACUUUGGAAAGAGAGUCAAACAGCACGUGAAAUUGUUGAAAGGGAAGCGCUUGCAGCCAGACUUGCCUGUAGUUGUUCAUCCGGACUUUUGUCCGGUGCACUCUUCUGCGGGCAGGCCAGCAUCAGUUUGGGCGGUUGGAUAAAGGUCUCUGUCAUGUACCUCUCUUCGGGGAGGCCUUAUAGGGGAGGCGACAUACAACCAGCCUGGACUGAGGUCCGCGCAUUUGCUAGGAUGCUGGCGUAAUGGCUGUAAGCGGCCCGUCUUGAAACACGGACCAAGGAGUCUAACAUCUAUGCGAGUGUUUGGGUGUCAAGCCCGAGCGCGUAAUGAAAGUGAACGGAGGUGGGAACCCUUUUUAGGGGUGCACCAUCGACCGAUCCUGAUGUCUUCGGAAGGAUUUGAGUAAGAGCAUGGCUGUUGGGACCCGAAAGAUGGUGAACUAUGCUUGAAUAGGGUGAAGCCAGAGGAAACUCUGGUGGAGGCUCGCAGCGGUUCUGACGUGCAAAUCGAUCGUCAAAUUUGGGCAUAGGGGCGAAAGACUAAUCGAACUAUCUAGUAGCUGGUUCCUGCCGAAUCCUCCUCUC